rnacentral:misc_RNA from 1 species
AAGUCGUAACAAGGUCUCCGUAGGUGAACCUGCGGAGGGAUCAUUAUUGAGCGAGGGCCUCCGGGCUCGACCUCCAACCCCUAUGCCAUCCUACACUUUGUUGCCUCGGGGGCGACCCGGCCUUCGGGCGUCGGGGCCCCCGGCGGUCCACUCAACUCUGCAUCUUUGCGUCCGAGUCAUAUGAAUUAAAUCAAAACUUUCAACAACGGAUCUCUUGGUUCUG